GCCAGAUAGGUUCCCGCCAUGCCCUGGAGAGCUGCCGUUUCUCCAGCUCCGCCCUGCCCAUGAGGCAAACAGCUGGUCGACUGGUCUUCUGUGCUGGUUCUUGGUUCUCACCUUUGUUUCCUACCAGAGCUGGACCCCGGCCUCAAACUCCAGCCAGCUUGGGCUGUGAUCCUCUAUCCUGGGCACCAGGGCCCACCCCCUGCCCACCCCAGCAGAGAUGCUGCUUUAUGCCUGCAUCCUCCCUCAGCACACGUGGCCUUCAUCUUCAGUUCUGGCGCCCACCUGAUCUGCCUCCUCCCACACGCCACCUCUAGAUAGAGCCCUAGAAAGUGAUGUUGGCCUGAAACUGAGUCACAUUCAUCUAAACAUUUUCCUGUAGAAAAGACCAGACCCUCCUUGUUGAGAUAGGAAAUCUGUAGUGAGUUUAUGUGUUACCUGCACUCAUGAGGGAGAGGAGGGAAGGCCACCAACCUCCUCUCAACAAAGAGAAUUCAAAGUAUUUAUGUGUUGAGUUGUGUCACUUACGACAUGCAUAUCAGCUCCACUUUCUACCUAGGGUCAA
rnacentral:lncRNA from 1 species